CAGCCGUGUAGGUACAGGUACAGCACCAACAAAUCCCAUCCUGAAACGAACAGUACAAGCAUGUGGGCGCGCGGCGCGCAUCAUCGCAGGGGCGCGGUGCGCCGCGGGCGGCCAUGCACGGACGCGUACGCGUAUCCCCGCCCGGCCGGGCCGGGCCACCUAGCAGAAGAGGUAGCCGAAAGCCGCGGCGGCGACGGGCAAUACCGCGAACGCCGGCGAGGCGGACGUGGCGCUGGACGUGGGCGCCGGGGCGGGUGCGUCGGCCGCCGCGGAGGCCGCGCCCACCAGGGACGAGGCGACGACCACGGCUGCCGCGGCGAGGAGGCUGGCCUUCAGUUGCCUUGCCAUCUUUUCGCUAGUUUCGGGAGCUGAGGCAGCUCGUUGUAUCGACUUGUUGCCGUUGCUGUUUCGAUUGAUGGGC
rnacentral:lncRNA from 1 species